GUCUUUGCUUCGGCAAGACAUAUACUAAAAUUGGAACGAUACAGAGAACGAUAGCUCGGCCGCUAGCUGAAGAACUCAAAAAAAAAAAUAUUGUAAAUUCUU